GUCCGCGGAAAACUCCAAAGCUGAAACCUCACUCAUUCUCUCUCUGCGGGUAUUUAAAUUCAGCCUCAGUGAGAUCGAUCUUUUGUAUUCACUUUGGAUUGUGCAGCUUGUUGUGUCUUAUGCUCGCUUAAAGUUAGCUUUCGUUCAUCAGUUUGGACUCCAUAGUAAUCCAAUUGAGCGGAGGGCUAUGAUUUUCUUGUCAUACACGUUUUGGGAUAUAUCUGGAAUCCUACAUCAGUAGUCUGAUGAUCACGCGGAGUACCCCAAAUUGUUUUUAACUAAAAUUGUUAGCAUGCGAUGCGAGUUUGAUAUCUAUUGUAAUUGUCGGUCCUUGCGAUCAGUUUUGAGAUUUAAGGGUUAGCAUCUAAUUCUGUCAUGUCUUUGUGGCGGGAUUGAAUCGUUUGGAACAGUUUUCUGUUUCCAUUUAUAUUCUCGUUUUGUUUCAGUAUGUAAGCCUUUGUCUUAUCUCGAAGGAACUAAACUUCAAUUUGUAAACUUUUAGUUGGGACGGCUUGUGGAAUUCUCGAACCAGAAUUAUGGCUCGUUCUAGUUCUUCUAGUUCCCGUUCACGUUCGAGUUCCAUUUCCACUGUACCCCAGUCCACGUACUCUGCUUUAUCUGACAAAAGGAGUCCUAGUGCCUGUGACGAGGUUGCAGUGAGAUAUCCAAACGGAGGUUCUACAGUUUUUAAUCAUUCAAAUUUUCGUGCAAGUGCAAUUGGUCGUGGCAUUUCUGAUGAGCAAUGCCAGUGGCUGCUUCCGGCGGUUGUUGUGUUGGUGUUGUCAAUCCUUGGAAUGGAAAACAAAUGCUAGAUCAUCCGUCUCUACAUAAACAUUGACAAGUGUUGCAUCUCUCUCUUUAAAUGGCAGCUGAGCCUUUUUGGCAGGCCUGAUGACCCGGAGUUCAAGCUUUUCCGAGGUUGCCUAUGGAAAGAUUGUGGCAUUGAGGUGGAUGUUGAGAAUGGUUGGUCCAAGAAUGAUUCAACUUGCACAAGUUGGGCUCAGGAUUGAAUAAGGAUGAAGAAUAAAUGGGUGUGAUUUUGGCGUGUAGUUAGCUUUGUUGCUCAAAGUAGUAAAUCCACAUGCAAAAAGGAUUUACUAUAGGACCAAUUUGCUUUGGAUUAAGGUUUUGUUGGGAUCUAUCUAUGAACUUUACUCAUAAUUUAACUUGAAAAUAUCAUUUAUUCUUCGAGUCGUGUUUCAUUUCUUGAGUAUUAUCAUAUUUUUAUGAAACAAUGAGCAUUAGGAGAAGAAUGCAUUACCUGCGUAAAAUCAACUUGGUAAAAAUUUCAACUUUUUUGCUUAAAGGGAAACAGGCAUUUGGCCUUGGUUGUUUAUUUAUGAGGUCGUACACACUUUGGGUUCACUAAUGAGUAAUGGAUAAUGGCGUUGAGAAAGAAAAGAGGGGUGUAUGAUGAGCAAUUGAGCAAAUUCUUGCAAGCUUUUAAGGCAAAGUUUUACCAAGGUCGUCGUUACUACCGACUCCUGCAAUUUGCGACAACAGUCAGAUGGUGUUGUUCCUCUACCAGACCCAUGCUG